GAUCACGUAAAAUUUUAAUAGUCGAACAGACUAAAUUAAUAUAGCUUCUUCACCAAAAAUUAAUUUUAAUUCAACAUCGAGGUCUCAAUCCUAAUUAUCAAUAAGAACUUCCUAAUUAGAUAAAGCUGUUAACCCUAAAGUAACUUUUAAUACUUCAUUUAUUUUUUAUAAAAAUCUUUUCUUCAUUAAUUUCCCCAAUUAAAAAUUAUACAAUUAUAAGCUUUUAGGGUCUUCUCGUCCCCAAGAUUAAUAAAAGCAUUUUUACUUUUAAUUAAAUUUCAAAAUUAUAAAAUAAAACUAUCCUUUAAAAUCUCUACCUUUCAUACCAGUUUUCAAUUAAAAAA
rnacentral:rRNA from 1 species